CCCAAAACUUCACUAAUGACAGGUAGGGAGUUGCUGCACUGGAGAGUUUGGCUCUGCUUGGUAGUAUUUUCCCAGGUACACAUAAUCUGGAUGCAGUGCAGUCAUGGAACAAUAAGUAUGGUAGCAGGGGGACUCUAAGAAAGCAGCGCCUCAAAAAAGUAUUAACAACCUAGGAGGAAAUGUACCCAGAUGAAAGCUUAUGAGCCUCCCACAGCUCAAACAUCACCCAGUUCUUUCUCAUGAGAAUAUGAGUCUAAAAUUGGCAGACCUUUCUAUCUCCUAAACUGAACAGGCUUUCAUUUUAAUCUAGUCCCUGCACCAUCCUUAUCACACUUCCAACAAGCUCCUUGUCAUGGAGUUUCUGUCCCUCACGUUCUGUCCCGACAUCUCCCUACCUAAUUGUUCUUGCUGUUUUGCUUGCAGAAAUGGUGAAAGCAGACAGUCUUCUAAUGGGAAAUCCUCAUUGGAAACCGUGUCACAGCAUGGGGACGGUGAUAAACCUCUUAAGGAAAAGUCUGAGCCAUUGGCAUGGGAUGAGUCCAGAGCAGCCGUGGUUUCCACAAAUGGAAGUUACUCUGAACACACAGAAGCAAACAACGGAUUUUACCCACCAAAGUAAGUUUAAAGUCUAUUAGCAGUAUAAAAUUCACAUUUUUUUUUCUUGAUUUUAGAGUGAGAGGCGUCUUCUCCUGACCUGGUACUGCCCUAACAAAUGUGUUCUGGGAGCAGCACUUGUACGCACUUACAAAGGGGAGUGCCCCUGAUCCACCAGCUCAAAAUGGACCGAGAUCUCUCAGCUUCUUUCCUUGUGCUAGCAUGACUUGGUUGGACUUGUCUUUGCCCUUG
rnacentral:lncRNA from 1 species